rnacentral:snRNA from 1 species
GAAUGUGAGGGCUCUAGGACUGUGACAUCUGUCACUAUUGGUAACUAGGGUUGACUCAGCUCAUCUGGCUGGCUAGGCAGAUAUACCUUUCCUCACUGCUCCAUUUUGUAUCCCUCCCAAAGCUGCAUACUCAGUUGAUGAGAACGACCUUCCCUGACAGAGAUGACCUGCUAGAACCCUCCAAACAAGAGCUCAAGAAUAUCAAUAUGAAUUAGUAUUAUGAACUUAAUAUUUGAAGUGAAUGUUAAGAGCUAUUUUAGGAAAAAGUACUUUGUCUGAUCAACUUGAAGAAAAUAGAUGUAUAAAUAUAAAAAUUACAUCAGUGGUUCUCACCUGUGGGUCGAAACAC